UGGGGAAUAUUGCACAAUGGGCGAAAGCCUGAUGCAGCAACGCCGCGUGAGGGACGACGGCCUUCGGGUUGUAAACCUCUUUUAGCAAGGAAGAAGCGAAAGUGACGGUACUUGCAGAAAAAGCGCCGGCUAACUACGUGCCAGCAGCCGCGGUAAUACGUAGGGCGCAAGCGUUAUCCGGAAUUAUUGGGCGUAAAGAGCUCGUAGGCGGUUUGUCGCGUCUGCUGUGAAAACCCGAGGCUCAACCUCGGGCCUGCAGUGGGUACGGGCAGACUAGAGUGCGGUAGGGGAGAUUGGAACUCCUGGUGUAGCGGUGGAAUGCGCAGAUAUCAGGAAGAACACCGAUGGCGAAGGCAGAUCUCUGGGCCGUAACUGACGCUGAGGAGCGAAAGGGUGGGGAGCAAACAGGCUUAGAUACCCUGGUAGUCCACCCCGUAAACGUUGGGAACUAGUUGUGGGUCCAUUCCACGGAUUCCGUGACGCAGCUAACGCAUUAAGUUCCCCGCCUGGGGAGUACGGCCGCAAGGCUAAAACUU
rnacentral:rRNA from 1 species